AUCCUGGCCUUAUUAUUAAUUUUUUCUCAACCUACACAUGCAAGUAUCAGCACUCCAGUGAGUAACGCCCUUAUAACCUUUUUAGCAUAAGGGGCCGGUAUCAGGCACAACUAUUUGCCCACAAUACCUAGUCUUACCACACCCCCAAGGGUAUUCAGCAGUGAUAAAUAUUGCUUAUAAGCGUCAGCUUGAUUCAGUCAGAGAAAAGAGAGCCGGCCAACCUCGUGCCAGCCGCCGCGGCUACACCAGGGGCUCAAAUUAAUAAUUAUCGGCGUUAAGCGUGAUUAAAGCUCCUGCAAACUAGGGCCAAAUUAAUACUUAGUAGUUAUAAGCUUGCUAUUGAGAAGAACAUGAUCGAAAGUCACCCUAUCCCUUAUGCUUAGAUACACGGACAGCCAGGAACACAAACUGGGAUUAGAUACCCCACUAUGCCCGGCCGUAAAUAAUUAACCUACACCAAUCAACGCCAGGGGACUACGAGCAACGCUUAAAACCCAAAGGACUUGACGGUGUCCCACCCAACUAGAGGAGCCUGUUCUAUAAUCGAUGAUCCCCGCUAUACCCUACCCCUCCUAGCCUCUCAGCCUGUAUACCUCCGUCGAAAGCCUACCAUGUGAAUGCCAUAAGUAGGCUCAAUGAUCUCCCCAUCAAUAUGUCAGGUCAAGGUGCAGCCCAAGGAGAGGAAAGUAAUGGGCUACAAUUUCUAAGAUAGAACAAACGAAAGUCUAUGUGAAAUCAUAGUCACGAAGGCGGAUUUAGUAGUAAAAAGAAAAUAGAGUGUUCUUUUUAACCCGGCUCUGGGACGUGUACACACCGCCCGUCACCCUCUUCGAUUAUCUUACUAUAGUAUCUAACCUCACCUUCAACUUUAGAAGAGGUAAGUCGUAACAUGGUAAGUGUACUGGAAAGUGCACUUAGAUCACUA
rnacentral:ncRNA from 1 species